GGUGAAAAUAAGUUGGAAUCUCAUUGAUCUACCAAAUAUUAACCAAUUCUCCAUGUUGAAAGUUUUAUAUUUAUUUUUUAUAUCACCUUUAUUUUAACUAGGUAGGCUAGUUGAGAACAAGUUCUUAUUUGCAACUGAAAUGACAUGGUGUACCCAGUGGGACAACCUGGUAUCAGAGCAUUUUGUGUUAUUCUGUAUGUACAUUUUACGAAUUACAGUUCCUAUUAUAUAUUAAGAAUUUGCAAAAUGUACAAUAUGUUAUGAAUUUGCAAAAUGUACAAUAUGUUACGAAUUUGCAAAACGUAUAUGAUAUGCUACGAAUUUUAGCUAGUUGGCUAAUGUUAGCUAGCUCGCUAAUGUUAGCUAAGCCAGGGGUUAAGGAGUCCAUAUGCUUCCCAGCCGAAACAGUUCAGAAGAGUUUGUGCAUAUAUUAUGACAACAUUUGGUGACCUUUUGGUUCAUUUUGGACUUCACAGAGUUUUUUUUUUGGCUUUUCGGGAGCACAAUUUUUUUUCAGGAGGCAAGCCGAAGUUUGGAGCUGAAGUCUAAACCCCUUUGUCGGUGAUUGCUCAACAGUAGGCAUUCUUCAACAGUAGGCAUUCUUCAAAACUCGUUUUCAUGUAAUUUUUUUAUUGAGAAAUACUGCACCAAACAUCUUAGUUAAAUGCAAAAUUGCGCAACUAAGAUCUCCUCUGCAAAAACUUCUAAAUUAAUGACAGAUUUCUUGAGUAUCUUAGAUUAAUUCAGACUAUUUUGAGGAAGUGUAUACUGGCUACGGCGUCUCAAGAUGGACAAACAGUAUUAUUGCUGACAUUUUCUCUUUUUUCAAGUAAAGGUCUUUUAAGGGAGUAUGCGAGCAGCCGAACUGAAGCAUGCUGAUGCCUUUAGGGUUAGGGGUUAGGGUUAAGGUUAAGUUUAGGAGUUAGGUUAAAGGGUUAAGGUUAGGGAAAGGUUAGCUAAAAGGGUUAAGGUUAGUGUUAGGGAAGGGUUAGCUAACAUGCUUAGUAGUUUCAAAGUAGCUAAAAAGUAGCAAGGAGUUGAAAAGUUGCCAAUAAUCUAAAGUUGUCCAUGAUGAGAUUUGAAAUCACAACCUUUGGGUUGCUAGACAUUCACGUUAUCUGACCAACCACCCCACUUAAGUGACCAUAAAAGAGUGUCUUGGACUUGGAAAAAUACAAAAUACUCUGAGACCACAUUGUUAUAUGUGAUCCAGUACUGAAAUGCAUUCCAAAAGGUUUUAGUAGCUUAUUCCUUCAGGUUGAGUGGGAAGUUUAUUGUGUAAGACAUUUUAUAGAUAAAGGAUAAGUAGCAUAUUUUUUAAAAAUGUGUGUAUGAUUUUCUCCUCCGACAAUACAACAGCUACAGAUACCAAAACUCUUCUGCGGUAGGAUACACCAAAAGGUGUGUGGCCACUGCUCAUUCUCUCAAAGUGACAGCGCCCAGAGAAGACAAGUUUCCAAGGAGAGAAUGACCAUUAUGAGAUGUUAUGUAGGGAUUUCACCCGGCCGCAAGCAAAGUCCGGAGAAGAGGAAUAUUGGGACAGGGACACAGGAAGGUGGAUUUCUGAGGAGGAAUGUAGGGGGAAAAAAAGAGGAAGAAGAGGUUAAAGAAAAUGAGGAAAACUGAGGUUGGAACUGAAUUUGAGGAAAUGGUGAUAAAAAUGGAGAUUGGGUGUUGAAGAAGAGUCAAGUGCAAACAAAGUGACCUGUGCUCCAGAUCAAGUUCUGGAGGUGAAAUGAAAGUGAAGGAGAGCAAGUUAAGUGAGAUGGAAAGUGUAGUGCAUCAAUGGACAUGAUGAAGAGGAAUCUGGUCCAGUAGGGGUGACAUUUUUGAAGAAAAUGGAUCCUUGCCUUUUGGCAGAUCCAUUUGUGGUUUCAGGGUUGGUGAGAAAGGAGUUGGGUACAGUGGAAUUAGUGAAGGUAACCUGUAGUGAUAUUUGUGUGUGUUUCUUCCGAUCAAAGGGAGCGGGAGCUUCGUGUCACGCAACUUGGGUCGAGAUCUGUUUCUUGCUUUGCUCUUCGGAACAGGGCACAAUUGAAAGGAGUGAUUUCUAGGUAAGCAUUAAGUGUGGAGGUGGAGCAAUUGAAGUUAAAGAUUCCUGGUAUUUGUGAUGCCCGCUGUUUGGUGAGAUGCAGACCCGGUGGUGAGCGUGGUGAAACAGAGCAGUCACUGUCAGUCCUUUUGAGUUUUGAGUCUUUACCUGACAAAGUCAUGUUAGGAUAUAUCAGUUAUGCUGUUAGAGCUUUUGUGCCGAACCCACUGUGGUGUUUCAGGUGUUAUGUUUAUGAUCAUGUUGCAGCAGUUUGUAGGAGGGAGAUUCAAAGAUGUGGGAAGUGUGCAGGAGGGCAUGGGAUAGAGGAUUGUGUAGUUUGAAAAGUUGUGUGUGUCAACUGUAGGGGUGUUGACACACACAACUGUAGGGGUGCCCAUGUUGCUGGGGAUCGGAAGUGUCCGAUGCGAGAGAGGCAGGUUGAGGUGGCUAGAGUCAGAGUAGUGCAGAAGGUGUUGUAUGCUGAGGCAGUGAAGAAAGUAGAAGAGGAUGGGUCAGGAUCCCUGUGAGUAGUACAUCUGUGCCAGCACAGAGGGAUAGGCCAACGAGUGAUCGAUCAAUCAAACAAAUGUAUUUAUAAAUCCCUUCUUACAUCAGCUGGGGCACAACGUACUGUACAGAAACCCAGCCUAAAACCCCAAAUAGCAAGCAAGUGAUUUAAGCUUCAGUAAUGUUGACUUCUUAGCGUUCAUAGCAAUGGUUAUCAACUGUACUGCAGAAAUGGAACGUAAAUCACAGAAAAUAGAUGUUGUGGUGGCAGCUACAGAGAAGUAUUUGGGUAUACGAGAUUUGACUUCAGAAGAGUUACAGGGUGUGUUGAGUGGUGGUGUCCCAGGCCAUUGGCAUGGUGCAAGAGUAGAUAGGAUCAAGUAGUGGAAUGGUGUAAUGAUUUUAAUGGGUAUAAGGUUAGUUUUAAGGGUGUUUUUUGUAUAUAUCUAUAUAUAUAUAUUAUUAUUAUUAUUAUUAUUUGAAUUGUAUUUCGUAUUACAAAGAAUAAUGGAUUUAUAUGAUAGUCCAGUUGGGGGCGGUAAAGCAACAUUUUGGAUGCCAACCGCUGUUAAACUCCGAAGAAGAAGAAGGAAAAGGAUACACCAAAAGGAGGCUAUCGAGGAGGGGAGAACCAAAGAUUUUUAUAACUAAACCAAGAUAGACCACAGCCCGUUGUUUCAAACAUGAACAAAUGAGUCAGUUGUCAGAAGAAGCAAGGAAGUGGGCAGAGCCAAGUACGAGCUAGCAUUACCGCGUUCUAGCAAAGCAUAUUUCUGUUAGAGAAGGCCUACUCUGUGAAGUGCGAGUGUGCAAUAACUCAAUUCGCUUUUGCACUCCUUCUAAACAACCCCAUUAUUUUUUACUUUGGCAAAGGGUAAAUUCUACUAAACUUAGUCCACUAUGUUCGUAACAUAUUCUAGUUUUGGGAACAGAAAAUGUAUAUUGAGAUCAAAUGUUUAAUCGAUGAGAAAAUUAGCAGAAUGUCGGCCAAAAUCGAUAUCGCUUUAUCUUCUCUCACUGCCGGCCAGUGGUCUUCCAUAUUUGGUAGUGAGUUGAAAUGCCAAGCGGAUGCUUUACAUUUACAUAUUCGGUGAAAUAUCUGUCUCAUCUGACCGUCUCCAUUUGCCUAUUGACAGAUUAUCAUUUGCUUAGCUAGCCAACAUCGCCAUGACAUCACUUACAAGUGUGGUCGCGGAUUUCUAUUGGAGAAUUAAUGCCUAUCUUCAUACUGUACUGUCUUUGACAGAGAGAGGACGGAAAACACACUUUUGCCAAAACGACAAAAAAGGCCAAUGUGUUGGAAAGAGGACUAACUGACAGCUCAACUCUGCCCUCUAUUGUUUGGUUAAUGCGACCCUGCUGACACAUGAUCUCAUCAGCUGCAACAAAUAAUGAAACAAUGUUAUUCAUAGGGAACGUAUUUGCCUAAUUGCACAUCUGCAAGGAGAUCAAUAAUGUGGCAAACAUACUGGCUGACUACAUACAGGAACGAGCAGGUAUGGUCACGUUUGUGGAGUUUGGGUAGAUGAUGACUUAUGAAGCCUACAACAAAACGUUAUGUUAUUUAUGUCUGUCAUCUAUAUACAUAUGUUUACAUUUCCCCUUUGAUUCCCACAGAGCAAUUCCUUAGUGAUGGUGACAUCAGCAUGAAUAUUUGUGUAACUUCUGCCCCUGUCAUCACAUCACAGUACAUUGAAUCAUAUCACAAGCCAGCUGACAGAGGACCGUAUGCUUUACUUUUGGAUCUCUGAUGAGGUCUUCAACCCCUUAAUUACAGCUUCCCAUCAAGAUGGAUGUUUUGUCCUCAACAUCUCUGGCCUGGAGCUCACAGUAGGUGUCGACCUGACUACUGGAAGUCACUCUAACAUGAUCCUGUGUGGCGCAGUUGGUAGAACAUGGCACUUGCCACGCCAGGGUUGUGGGUUUGAUUCCCACGGGGGACCGUUAUGAAAAUGUAUAUACUCACAACUGUAAGUUGUUCUGGAUAAGAGCGACUGCUACUGACUUUCAUGUAGAAAGGCAUCCUUUAAGUAAUCAGGAGUUCUUAAAUGUAAAUGUAAAUGUUGUUGUUGGGGGUUAUGUUAUAUGUUAGAGACAGGGCAACUCACUGUAAUGGCGUGAUGAAGCUGCAAAAGCAAUGUUUCCAUCAGAUGUCUACAAUUAUGAUGUGGCAAGUAAACACUAUCUUACAUGGUGACUUCGAGCUGAUUUGUGUAUUUAAUUUGUGCUAUUAACAUGGUCAACUUAAUUACAGGAACUUUUAAAAGUGUAUUUGUCAACCGAAAUGCCAGAGUUCCUAAACCAGGUAAUGUGACAAACCCAGUCAGUACAAUCCUCAGACCCCUAUUAGCUCCACAGACCAUGUGACCUAUCUUGGCAUCUGCGCUACUAUGACUAUGGAUCAAUGUACAUUUUGUGGUGUCUUUAUCUUACAUUUUGUUAUAAAUAAUCCUAGCAGAUUAAUGCAAUGUGUAUACAUAUGUGUGUAUACAGGUAAAUGUGUGUUUGUUAUCCCCUGUCAGCUACUGUCCUCUGAGGAGCCAUUUCUGAGUGUGUCAGUGCCUCAACUGUGGACGACCCCACUGGGCAUCUCUGUUAGAGCUUUGGCUGCAGUGAAGCUGACCAGCGGAGCUGAGGACAUCCCAGGACUUUACUUUGAGACGGUCAGCCAACCAAACAUAUGUAAUUUUCAUGAUUUAAAUAACAUAGCACCAGACAACCUUUUCUCCCAGAUUAGUAGCUAAAUUAAGUUUGUCGAGGUUGUUGUGAGAACUUCAUACUCUGAGAAGUAAUUCAUCCUAAACGCUACAGCGCCACAGUGAGUCUUAUUCUAUUUUCAUGCCUAUUCUGUGAGCAUGUACAUAGGCCUACAUGUCUGUAACUGUUAUUGUGAUGAAUUCACUGUGACUCCACAAUGGUUACAGUGACUAACGGUUCAGUUCUUGAUUGCAACCUUCCUGGUUGCAUGUUCACUAACAAGUUAAUGUUCACUAACAAGUUAAUGUUCACUAACAAGUUAAUGUUCACUAACAAGUUAAUGUUCACUAACAAGUUAAUGUUCACUAACAAGUUAAUGUUCACUAACAAGUUAAUGUUCACUAACAAGUUCAUGUUCACUAACAAGUUCAUGUUCACUAACAAGUUCAUGUUCACUAACAAGUUCAUGUUCACUAACAAGUACCACUGCUGUCGACAUCUGUGCAAGUAAAAAAAAGAAGACUGCUUCUUUCCACAAAAUAAUUUCCAUAAUGAAGGAAUCACUGUCCAAACACACACUGCAGGUGAGAAUUAAGUAGACUCAUUGAAUCACUAUCUAAGUGACAUUUAACGUUGGUUGGUAGAUUGCUUCCUUCUUAUUUUAUUUUGCUCUCCAGAUGGUUGAAGCUCACAUUGAAUAUUUAAAAGGAGCAGUGGAAAAAAUAGGUGUCCCAAAAGUAAUAUCUGGUGAGUUCUGUUUCAUCCUGUCCCGUUUAGUGAAUUGAGAUAUCCCACUGGGCAUACCAUGCAUUUUCAACAAGGGAGAAUUGGGUAAUAUUGAGCAGAUACAUUGAUCAAGGAGAUUCCAAACUAUUUUAACCCACUCAAAAAGACAGCCAAAAGUUUGUUGAAUUCCCAAUGUUAUCACUAUGCUUUCAACCAUCUAAAAGCACAACCAGAUUCCAAUUGAAAAUCAAUGUCUUGUUUGUGGUUUAGUUGUCACGUAAAUGUGUUAUCACUGUGCUUUAGAACAUUUAAACACACAACAAAGUUCAAAUUGGAAUGCAAUGUCAGAUAUUUGGUUUAUUUAUACAACAACUUUGUCACACCCUGACCUUAGAGAUCCUUAUUUAUUGUCUAUGUUUGGUUAGGUCAGGGUGUGACUCGGGUGGGAAAAUCUAUGUUUUCUAUUUCUUUGUUGUUUUUGCAGAGUGUGGUUCUCAGAGGCAGCUGUCUAUCGUUGGCUCUGAUUGGGGAUCAUAUAUAAAUUGGUAUUUUCCAUUUAUGUUGUGUGGGGUGUUAUUUUCUGUUUAGUGUCUGCCUGACGGAACUGUUCGUUUUUGAGUUGUUGUUUUUGUUUGAGUGUUUCUUGAAAAUAAAUAUCAUGAACACUUUCCACACUG